rnacentral:rRNA from 1 species
UUGGAGGGCAAGUCUGGUGCCAGCAGCCGCGGUAAUUCCAGCUCCAAUAGCGUAUAUUAAAGUUGUUGCAGUUAAAAAGCUCGUAGUUGAAUUUCGGGAUUUGUCAGUUGGUCGGGCCUCACGGUCCACACUGGCUUGAUGGAUUCCUACCUUCUGAAUAACCAGCAUGCCAUUAAUUUAGUGCGUUGGGGAAGCAGAUCUAUUACCUUGAAAAAAUUAGAGUGCUUAAAGCAGGCUAGUGCUUGAAUAGAUUAGCAUGGAAUAAUAAAAUAGGACGGCUUGGUUCUAUUUUGUUGGUUUCUAGGAUCACCGUAAUGAUUAAUAGGGAUAGUUGGGGGCAUUAGUAUUCAAUUGUCAGAGGUGAAAUUCUUGGAUUUAUUGAAGACUAACUUCUGCGAAAGCAUUUGCCAAGGAUGUUUUCAUUAAUCAAGAACGAAAGUUAGGGGAUCGAAGACGAUCAGAUACCGUCGUAGUCUUAACCAUAAACUAUGCCGACUAGGAAUCGGACGAUGUUAAUUUUAUAAUGACUCGUUCGGCGCCUUACGGGAAAC